GCGGAUAUAGUUGAGUGGUAAAAUGUCUCCUUGCCAAGGAGAUGAUACGGGUUCGAUUCCCGUUAUCCGCC
rnacentral:tRNA from 1 species